rnacentral:rRNA from 1 species
UCGGGCGGUUCCCCUUCGGGGGACAGGGUGACAGGUGGUGCAUGGUUGUCGUCAGCUCGUGUCGUGAGAUGUUGGGUUAAGUCCCGCAACGAGCGCAACCCUCGACCUUAGUUGCCAGCAUUCAGUUGGGCACUCUAAGGUGACUGCCGGCUAAAAGUCGGAGGAAGGUGGGGAUGACGUCAAAUCAUCAUGCCCCUUAUGACCUGGGCUACACACGUGCUACAAUGGGCGGUACAAAGGGUCGCGAACCCGCGAGGGGGAGCCAAUCCCAAAAAGCCGCUCUCAGUUCGGAUUGCAGGCUGCAACUCGCCUGCAUGAAGCCGGAAUCGCUAGUAAUCGCGGAUCAGCAUGCCGCGGUGAAUACGUUCCCGGGCCUU